AACGGCUUACCAAGGCGACGAUGACUAGGGGAUCUGAGAGGAUGACCCCCCACACUGGUACUGAGACACGGACCAGACUCCUACGGGAGGCAGCAGUGAGGAAUAUUGGUCAAUGGGCGAGAGCCUGAACCAGCCAAGUCGCGUGCAGGAUGACUGCCUUAUGGGUUGUAAACUGCUUUUAUAAAGGAAUAGCAACAGAAACGUGUUUCUGGAUGAAUGUACUUUAGGAAUAAGGAUCGGCUAACUCCGUGCCAGCAGCCGCGGUAAUACGGAGGAUCCAAGCGUUAUCCGGAUUUAUUGGGUUUAAAGGGUGCGUAGGCGGUAGCUUAAGUCAGUGGUGAAAGUUUGCAGCUCAACUGUAAAAUUGCCAUUGAAACUGGGUUACUUGAGUAUGGUAGAGGUAUGCGGAAUGCGUUGUGUAGCGGUGAAAUGCUUAGAUAUAACGCAGAACCCCAAUUGCGAAGGCAGCAUGCUGGACCAUUACUGACGCUGAGGCACGAAAGCGUGGGGAUCAAACAGGAUUAGAUACCCUGGUAGUCCACGCCGUAAACUAUGAAUGCUAGCUAUUGGCGAUAUACAGUCAGUGGCACAGAGAAAUCGUUAAGCAUUCCACCUGGGGA
rnacentral:rRNA from 1 species